GCAAACGACUUGCCAGGAGCCGCGGUAGUAGUGGGGUGCCGAGCGUGAUACGGAAUUACCGUGCGUAAAGCGGGGGCAGGCGGUUGGAUAAGUCAGUUGUGAAAUCCCCGGGCUCAACCUGGGAACUGAAUUUGAGACUGCCCAGCUGGAGUUUGGCAGAGGGGGGUGGAAUUCCACGUGUAGCAGUGAAAUGCGUAGAGAUGUGGAGGAACACCGAUGGCGAAGGCAGCCCCCUGGGCCAAUACUGACGCUCAUGCACGAAAGCGUGGGGAGCAAACAGGAUUAGAUACCCCUGUAGUC
rnacentral:rRNA from 1 species